rnacentral:lncRNA from 1 species
AGGCGCCCCACGAAGCAAUAAUUUCUAAAGGAACAAUGCAUGAUGUUACAAAAUCAUGCCUGGAAAACAGACUUGAUGGAGUGGAGGAAGGGAAUGGAAGUUUGGGUGAGAAAAAGGUGCUGGAAAAGGAAGUUGGGGACCUGAUUUACACCUGAUUUAAGCCAAAAUCAGCCCUGGCAAGGACUGACUAGCAGGCUGAAGGUAGAAGAUGUUUCCAUAAUUUAG